CGUGCCUAGGGCACGAUCGUGACAGAGAGGGGCACGGGAGAGAGGGCGGCGGCGUUGGAGAGGGUUCGCCGGAGGGAUGUGAGCGUCGGGGAGAGGCGACCAAGAGCCGGCCGGCCGCGGAGGAAGGCCACUUCCCUUCAAGAAGAUCCCCACAAAUCGGUGAAGAGAUCUUGGACCCGUGCGUGUUUGCUCACGGAUUUCUUCCUCCGAUUUCUCGCCGGAAAGGUUGCCGGAGCACGCCGUCAGACCGAGAGGAAGAGUCGGUGGUGCCAGGAGAUUUUGAUCAGGGGACAGCAUCCCAGCGCGCAGGUUGUGAUUCGGAUCCGUAUUUGAGUCGGUCCAUAAAUUUCUAGUUGCAGGAUGCUUAGAUUUGGAUGGGAUGGGCGCAGAGUACAAGUAUCAGAGUCAUUAGCUAGUUAGUUUGUUUGUCCUUCUUUGAUGUCGAUGAACAUUUGAAGAUCUUGUAAUUGAACUAAUUUGUUUAUUUGGAUAUGUCGGACUUGUCUAUUUGAAUUAUUAAAUUAA